CAGUAAGGUCCGUUUGAGACUAAGACGUAGAUAGGUCAGGUGUGUAAGUGUAGUGAUACAUUGAGCUAACUGAUACUAAUGAACCGAGAGUCUUAACCUU
rfam:Gilliamella apicola SCGC AB-598-P17 SCG598P17_12443, whole genome shotgun sequence.